rnacentral:lncRNA from 10 species
AAGAGGCAGCAGGCUUCGUGAGCUGGGGAAGUGCCAGAAGCAGCCUUCGAAUUAGACAGACCUGGACCCAAACCCUUUCUCUUCCCCCCACCCAUUUUGGCAUCUUGGCACGAGACUGUCCCCAUUUCUGGAAAGGGUGUUCACAAGAACAGUCUGGCUGGGUUGUUGGGAUGACCGAGUGUGAUCAUGCGUCUCUAUGGCUGGCCAUGGUGUUUAUUCGAUGGCAGGUAUUACCAGGAUGGAGCGAGUCCCAGUAGGAAGGGCCUUUAGGAUGUCAUCUGGUUCCACCCAACAGGGAUGGGAACUGUAAUUCCCCACUCUCCCUGUGGAGAAUCAGGGCGGGCUCCGGAUGGAUGGCCAAAGGCUGCACAGAGAUAGACUGGGAGCUCCAUGAGGUCCGAGACAACCUGAAGACGCCCAGCUCAGCAGAGACUGGCUACGGCAAUCACUCAGUAACUAUUUGUUGAAUUGGACAUAAUAGAAGAGCUGAAGAAUUUUAAACAAGUCACCAUCAGUGCAGUGGAUUCCUCAAAGCAAACCUGGAAAUCUCGGCAUGAGUUGGAUUUAAGGCAGUACAUUUUCAGCUCCUGAAAAUUUGAACAGUUUCUCAAGAGAACAACUUGAAACAGAAAGGCAAGGAUGUAGAUGUGGUUGUAGAAGAUGAUGUCUGCGGCCACCAAACUGUCCACUGUGAAGACAAACCAUGCAUGUUUAGUAGGCAGUGGCUCCUCUUCCCUGUGGGGAGUCCCACUGCUUCCCUGGCCUGGGUGUUCUCUGCCGGUAGAUGUUAUUGACAAAAUAAGCAAAGUCCUCUGAUUCUGAGAAUUAGAGUUAAUGAUAGCUCUAGAUUGCCUCUGCCAUGCUAUUUAAAGUCCUGCUUUAUUGUCUGACAUGAGUUCGGCAUCUAUGAGGACUUGUCCAGUGCAAAGUACAAUCUCCACUGAAAGAUAUCACCAGCACAUCUUGUCACUGUGCUGUAGCAAGCUGGGCAGUACAAUGAUGUUGGCAGGAUCCUGUUUAGGUGGAGGAUGGCCACCUGGGCAUCAAGAAUCUUCUACCCUGAUUCCACAUUGACUCCCCAAAGUGGGCUUCAGACAGCUCUUUACUUACGUCUUCUGAUUAAAGCAGCAGACAGGGUCCCAGCUAGAGAAAAGUUCUGGGAGCAGGAGAGGUGUUGGUGGCUUUAAAACCAGGGGUGAAGAUUGAAUUAGGAGGUUAGGCAGGAGUAGGAUCAAAGACUUAGAAAAUGCUUGUUUCCUCCUAUUAUUCUUAUGAGAGCUGAUACGGGGCUUUCAGUUUUGGGGGAGAGCCUUGGAAGAGAAUGAGGGAAUUUAAUCAACUAGCGGGACCUUUCCAACUUACAUUUCCCAGUGUUUGUUGGAUGAUACGUUUGCCUAAUAAGUUAAAGCUUCCAAAAAUAGAAAGGAAAGCUUGGUGACACUAAGCUCUGGCAUGCUGUCAUCUUCUGGCUAGGGGUCUUGUGCUUCUGUUUUUCUAUUUCUGACCAAAGACAUAAAAUGUGUUGUGACCUCUCAGGUAAUGCUGUGGUAUCAUGUCCAAGCAGUAACUAACCAGAGUGGAGUUUUUACAGGUAAAAAAGUAUUGAAUAGCUCAGCAACAGGGAGGACUUAAUGAUAAAUUGCUUUUUCAGAAAAUGACAAGGGGACAGACACUUGCGGUUCUUCCAUUGAGAGCCUUAAGGAAGUUAAGCGAAGCCUCUGCUCACCCCUUCAAGUAACGAUGACCCAUCAGAUCGUGGUCAUAACCAGUAGCAUCUGAGGCACCCCUAAGCUCUCUGGGCCCCAGAUUCCUUGUUAAGUUAAAUGAGGUGACUUCCCAGUUUACCAUUCUAGGGGUUCCUGAGGAGUUAAAAAUGAAGGAGAAAAUGCAACAUGUACCAAGUGAGCAAGAGCUCAAGGCUUAUCUCUGGCACGAAAGUGACCGCUGUCCGUUAGAGAUGUGAUUGCCCUAGAUUUCCUUUAGGAAAUGCAAACAUUGAACUCUGGCCUUCAGGACCCAAGUCCCGGCUUGCAUCUAUUCUAUACACUUUCUGUUAUUUGUUAGGGCUCACAAGGAACAGUUAUUUAUCUUUUAUUUUCUAUUUUUUUUUUAGAGAUGGAGUCUCACUCUGUCUCCCAGGCUGGAGUGCAGUGGUGCCAUCUCAGCUCACUGCAACCUCCACCUCCCGGGUUCAAGCAAUUCUCCUGUCUCAGCCUCCUGAGUAGCUGGGACUACAGGCGUGUGCCAUCAUGCCCGGCUAAUUUUUAGUAUUUUUAGUAGAGGCAGGGUUUCACCAUAUUGGCCAGGCUGGUCUUGAACUCCUGAUCUCAAGUGAUCUACCCUCCUUGGCCUCCCAAACUGCUGGAAUUACAGAUGUGAGCGACCACACCUGGCCCAUUUGUUUUCUUUCAAACCCUUCUGUAAGACCAGUGCUUUAGGUGAACACGUGGACAGAACAAGAUCAUCACUAUUUUGCAAUAUGAAGACCAACUGCGCUGUGACCAGAAAAACAGAGGCAAAAUGUUGAGCUUAAUGAUACCUUUUUAUAAUUUGUAUUUGGUGUUUCUCAAUUUUCCAUUGGAUAGUUUGAGAGAUAAGUACAAGUCAAUGACAUGUUCUCUUUCGUACCCUAUUGUCUAAUCCUGCUAACACACACACACACACACACACACACACUGAUUACCUAAUUUAUCUGUUCCCCGAUUAUUACACUCUCAAUUGCUGCAGAGUCUCAGAAGCAGCAUGGUGUAACAGAAAGAAUAUGAGGCUUAGAAUCCAAAAGCCAGAGUGUGAAUUCCAGCUCCACUGACUUGCUGCGUGACUUGAAGCAAGUCAUUACGUGUCUCUGUUUACUCAUUUUAUGACUUUCCUAUUGCCUCUGUAAUAUAGCACCACAAACGUGUGGACUUAAAACAACAUGCAUUUAUUCUCUUAGCGUUCUGGAGGUCAGGAGUCUGACAUCAAUUUCGUUGGGCUAAAAUCAAGAUGUUGGUAGGACCAAGAUCCCCGUGGAGGCUCUGGGAGAACCCAUUUCCUUGCCUUUGCCAGCUUCUAAUGCUGCAUUCCUUGCAUUCCUUGAUUGUUGACCUCUUCCCCCAUCUUCAAAGCCAGCAGAACAGCACCUUGUUUCAUUGCCUUCUUUACUGUCAAAUCUCCCUCUGCCUUCUUCUUAUAAGAACACUUGUGGUUGCAUUUAGAAGCUGUGAUAAUCCAGAAUAAUAUCUUUAUCUCAAGAUCUUUGACUUGGUCUCUUCUGCAAAGUCUCUUUUGCCACAGAGGGAAAUAUUCACAGGUCCCAGGGGUCAGGCUGUGUACGUCUUUGGGGGACUUUAUUCUGCCUACCACACUCAUCUUUUUUUUUUUUUUUUUUGGAUGGAGUCUUGCUCUGUCACCCAGGCUGGAGUGCAGUGGCAUGAUCUCGGCUCACUGCAACUUCUGCCUCCCCAGUUCAAGCAAUUCUCCUGCCUCAACCUCCCAAGUAGCUGGAAUUACAGGCGCCUGCCACCACGCCCGGCUACUUUUUGUACUUUUAGUAGAGAUGGGGUUUCACUAUGUUGGCCUGGCUGGUCUUGAACUCCUGACCUCAGGUGAUUCCCCCACCUUGGCCUCCCAAAGUGCUGAGAUUACAGACGUGAGCCACCAUGCCCGGCCCCACACUCAUCUAUUAAGUAGAGCUAGGAAUUCCUAUCCUAAGGGACACAAAAAUGAAAAAAGAUAAAAUUUGUGAAGAGGCACAUAAUGAAAGCCCAUACAUGUCACUGAGUUCAGAGGAGGGUGGGUCUGACCUCCCAUUGGCUGGUCUCUGCCUGAUGGACAUCGUGAAGAAGAGAGCCAGGACUAGUGUGGCUGGGGGAUGUUCAGGGGCCAGAGUGGCUUCAGGUGCCAGCAGCCCUGGCCGAAGGAUGACUCCAGGAGCAAGGCUCAGAGCCGAGUGGAAGAAGCUUCAUAAACGCAACUGAGCCAAGCAUGAUGGGAUGUGCCUGUGGUUCCAGCUACU